rnacentral:rRNA from 2 species
AGUUGAUUGCCCCCGGCGUAAAGAGUGGUUAAGAGAACCCCUUAAACUAAAGAUGAACGACUUCAAAGCUGUUAUACGCACACGAAUCCAUGAAAAUCAACUACGAAAGUGACUUUAAACCCCUGACCCCACGAAAGCUAUGAUACAAACUGGGAUUAGAUACCCCACUAUGCUUAGCCGUAAACAUUGAUAUUAAUCUACCUAUUUUAUCCGCCCGGGUACUACGAGCAUCAGCUUAAAACCCAAAGGACUUGACGGUGCUUUAGAUCCACCUAGAGGAGCCUGUUCUAGAACCGAUAAUCCCCGUUAAACCUCACCUUUCCUUGUUUCAUCAGCCUAUAUACCGCCGUCGUCAGUUUACUCUGUGAAGAAUUUGAAGUAAGCACAAUUGGUACAACCCAAAACGCCAGGUCGAGGUGUAGCCAAUGGAGAGGGAAGAAAUGGGCUACAUUCAAUAAAAAUAAUGAACACGAAUGAUGUUUUGAAAUAAAUAUUUAAAGGAGGAUUUAGCAGUAAGUGGAGAAUAGAGCGCUCUACUGAAAUCGGCCCUGAAGCGCGUACACACCGCCCGUCACUCUCCCCAAGCUAAAAAAGCACAUUUCUAAAAAACAAA